rnacentral:rRNA from 1 species
GAUUAUAUGCUUGUCUCAAAGUUUAAGCCAUGCAUGUCUAAGUACAGACUCAUAAUAAAAGUGAAACCGCGAAUGGCUCAGUAAAUCAGCUGUGAUUCUCUGGAUCUAUAUACAAAGACCUGCUUCGCCAGCACUUGGAUAACUCUGGCAAUUCUAGAGCUAAUACAUGCAAACAUAGUCCCUGGUAGCCACUGUCCAUGUUUUCUGAUGCAAGAGUACAGAUGGCUGUAAGCCGAGGGCGCUUUUAUUAGUAUCAAAACCGGUUCAUUCGGGCUACGGUCCGUAAAACCCCAUUAUGAUGACUCUGGAUAUCUUGUAGCUGAGCAAGCAGUCUUUUGUUGACCCUUUGCCUGUUCUCUCAAGGGUCUGCCUUAUCACGCUGUACUGUAUAAUAUGGGUCCUACCAUGGCAAUAACGGGUGACGGGGAAUCAGGGUUCGAUUCCGGAGAGGGAGCCUGAGAAACAGCUACCACAUCUAAGGAAGGCAGCAGGCGCGCAACUUACCCACUCUCAGCACGGGGAGGUAGUGACGAAAAAUAACGAUGCGAGACUCAUCCGAGGCCUCGCAAUCGGAAUGAGUACACUUUAAACACUUUAACAAGUAUCAAUUGGAGGGCAAGUCUGGUGCCAGCAGCCGCGGUAAUUCCAGCUCCAAUGGCAUAUAUUAAAGUUGCUGCGGUUAAAAAGCUCGUAGUUUAAACUACUUGCUUGGGCUGGAUUUUUUUUGGGAACUGUAAGCCCCUUUAUUGAGGCUGCCCAUGGCCACGCCUAAUCAACCGCUUCAACUUAUAAAAUGGUUUGGCUAUAUAGCUGGCUCACAUGGGGUUGCUCUUGACUGAGUGUCCCCGCGUGGCUGGCCCUUUUACUUUGAAAAAAUUAGAGUGCUCAAAGCAGGUAACCAAUAGGGCCUGAAUAUUAAUGCAUGGAAUAAUGAAAUAUGACAUCUGGUCCAUUUUUUGUCAUAGAGAGAUUAAAUGAUCAAUUCCAGGAGGAGGGCAACCUCCUCUUGGAUCAACAACAAUCACAAACUUGUGUACCGGUUUUCCAGAAGGAUACUGGUGUGCCCUCACGGCCAGAUUAACUUUUGUGCCUGUGUUGUGCCAUCCAGAUACCUAUGGGAACCAGUUGUAAUGAUCAAUAGAGACUGCUGGGGGCAUUUGUACUGAGGCGCGAGAGGUGAAAUUCUGUGACCGUCUCAAGACAAACAACAGCGAAGGCAUUUGCCAAGGAUGUUUUCACUGAUCAGGAACGAAAGUUAGAGGUUCGAAGGCGAUCAGAUACCGCCCUAGUUCUAACCGUAAACGAUGCUAACCAGCAAUCCGCCGGUUGUUAUCAUUAAUGACCCUGCGAGCAACUUCCGGGAAACCAAAGUCUUUGAGUUCCGGGGGAAGUAUGGUUGCAAAACUGAAACUUAAAGGAAUUGACGGAAGGGCACCACCAGGAGUGGAACCUGCGGCUUAAUUUGACUCAACACGGGAAACCUCACCAGGUCCGGACACUAGAAGGAUUGACAGAAUGAAAGCUCUUUCUCGAUUCAGUGGGUGGUGGUGCAUGGCCGUUCUUAGUUGGU